CCUACAUUUCAAGAGAUGGAUAUAAACACCAGAUGGAUAUUACAAGAAAAUUGGAUUGCUCUGCAGUGAGUGAUAUAUGGAAAGGCCAUUUCCCAACCAAGCAAAAUUGUAACAAAAGCCUCGUCUAGUCUAAGAAUUACACAAUUUGGGCCUAUGGUUACAAUGCAGACUCUGGAUGCUCAUGAAAUUGGAAGCUUUUUCCUUCCUUCAGUUUGGACCUGACCCAGGCUGGGUGUCCAGAGAAAGAUGACUUGUUCUGGGGAAGCCAGUUGCCAUGUUGUGAAGAUACUCUCGAGACACUCCGGAGGCUUCCUGUGGUAAGGAACUAAGGGCUCCUGCCAACAGAUCUCUCCCAAGGAGAUAAGAGUCUUGGUCAUGAUAAUGCUUUAUGUGAAAACCAUGAGUUCCAGGUCUCCACUCAUCUGCUGGCUGGAAAAACUGCAAUGGCUGCAGUGGUUUGUUUGGAAUGAGAGAAGGAUACAAGGUAGAUCCUGGCUAUCAUAACAGAUUAUUGUGCCACCUUUACUUGUGGGUAAGUAAAUUAUAUGUGUGGGGCUCUGAGACUAGAAUUUAACUUUUGUUUUGUUUUGAAAAAUUCAAUACCUAGAAGCCAGUUGAGAGUUAAUUAAACUAUGAGAAGUUUCCAGAUUCAUUUAAAUGAAGACUAUUACAUUUCAAACAACACUUUAGUAGACACUGUUGUUAUGUAGAGGAGGAACUACAAUCCUGUUCUUUGGUGGAGGCCAUGAGUAGUGGAAUCCCUCUGUGUAAUGAUACUUCAUUAUCUUAGAGUUGCACCCUGAGGAUGAUUGCUAUUGUCUCAGAAAAGAGAAACACUGUUUUUUUGUUUUGUUUUGUUUUGUUUUUGUCUUCUGCCCUUAUAAGAGCUACAGAGAAGUAGGAGAGAUGACCUUGAAAUAUUAGGGAGGCUAUUAAGAGGUAAUAUAGAUACUGUAGGUAGUAGGGGGCUACAGAAGAGUAAAUGGAGAGAUAGGUCUGACCUUUUGUCAAUGAUCGAAGGGAUUGGAGGCACUGUGACAUUCUUUACAGAUAUACCCUGCUUCACAUAAUGAACCCAAGGGAAAAUAUUAUAUGAAAAUGUAUCCCACCAGUCAUUUACUGUGAUCCACAGACUUUACUACCUUAGCUUUUCAACAAUCUCUUCUCUUCUUACACAUGAAGAUCAUGCUUAGUGCAGACAGGACAUUGUCUAGGGAAUGUUAUAUUAAAACAUAUGUGGAGAAAUUUUUAGUUGUCUCAAUAUUGAAGCAGAACCACUGCUAAUGUAGUGGUAGAAGGCAAGGAUAUUAGACAUCCUGCAAUUUUUGAGAUAGUCACAUGCCCAAAAGAAUUAUCUUACCUUUCAUAUGAUUUGAAUGGCCCACUACUUGUUUUUGAAAAACAGUUAAUAACCCCAGAACCUAACUUUUUAAGAUAUAUAAAACCAAAGUAAUUUUUAUACUUUUAAUGUUCACGGAAUAUUUGAGGAUUUAAAUAAUUAUGUACAAAAAGGACAGUGUAUAUAAUAUUGUCUUUGGGAAUUUACCCAGUAAACCAGAUUUCAAAAUGAGUCAUACAUGGCAAUCCCAUUCCAAAUAUUUGAGUCAUGAUUAGAGACCACCUGUAAAAAGUGUGUACUUUAAAGAAGAACUAAUACCAAUCCUCGUCAAGUUAUCCCAUGAUAUAGAAAAGGAGAGAACACUGCCAAAGCAAUUCUACGAAGCCAGUAUCAUCCUGGUACCAAAACCAGUCAAAGACAACCAAGGAAAAAAAACUUCAGACCAAAAUCCUAGAUGAAUAUAGAUGCCAAAAUUCUUAAUAAAAUAUUGGCACCAUGCUAUAAAAAAACACAUUAAAAAGACAGUGUACUGUAACCACGUGGGAUUCAUCCCUGGGACAAAAGACUAGUUCAUUUAUUGAUACAGAAAUCAAUAAAUGUAAUUCACCACAUAAAUACACUAAAAGACAAGAAUCACAUGAUUUUCUCAAUAGAUGCAGAGAAAGUAUUGGACAAAGUACAGUACCAAUUCAUGUUUAAAGCACUAGAAAAACUAGGGAUUGAAGAAACUUACUUCAACACAAUAAAGGCUAUAUACAACAAACCCAAGGCCAACAAUAUUUUCAAGGGAGAACAAAAUGAAAGUAUUUCUUUUAAAAUAGGAAGAAGACAAGGAC